UUUGUUUUAUCUUUUUUUUUCACCGUGCAUGUACUUUUUCACUUAUUUUAGACUUUAAUUUUUAUUUUAUUUUGAACAUUGACAUAACUAUUAUUUUGUCAUAAAAUUAGGAAAAUGGAUUUUUUAGAGUUAUAAGUAUUUAACAUUGUUCUACUUCUUUAUAACUAAAUAAAGUUUUUUUUUAUUUUCUAUUUUAAAUACUUAUGCAAAUAUUAUUAUUAUUCUCAUUUAAUUAAAAUUACAAAAAGAAAGACAAAA
rnacentral:lncRNA from 1 species